rnacentral:rRNA from 1 species
AGUGAACGCUGGCGGCGUGCCUAAUACAUGCAAGUCGAACGAACGAAUAAGAGCUUGCUCUUAUAAGUUAGUGGCGCACGGGUGAGUAAUAUAUAGCUAAUCUGCCUCUUAGUAGAGGAUAACAGUCGGAAACGAUUGCUAAUACUCUAUACUUCUGCUUUACAUACGUAAAGUAGAGAAAGUUUUUCGCUAAGAGAUGAGGCUAUACUGUAUCAGCUAGUUGGUAAGGUAACGGCUUACCAAGGCUAUGACGCAUAACUGGUCUGAGAGGAUGAUCAGUCACAUUGGAAAUGAGACACGGUCCAAACUCCUACGGGAGGCAGCAGUAGGGAAUAUUGCGCAAUGGGGGAAACCCUGACGCAGCAACGCCGCGUGGAGGAUGACACCUUUCGGAGCGUAAACUCCUUUUAUCGGGAAAGAAUAAUGACGGUACCCGAUGAAUAAGCACCGGCUAACUCCGUG